rnacentral:rRNA from 1 species
AUUGAACGCUGGCGGAAGGCCUAAAACAUGCAAGUCGACCGAGUGGCGGACGGGUGAGUAAUGUCUGGGCAACUGGCUGAUGGAGGGGGACAACUACUGGAAACGGUAGCUAAUACCGCACACCAUCAGUUGCGCCCUGAUGGGAUUUGCUUGUUGGGGGGGUAACGGGUCAACAGGGCGACGAUCCCUAGCUGGUCUGAGAGGAUGACCAGCCAAACUGGAACUGAGACACGGUCCAGACUCCUACGGGAGGCAGCAGUGGGGAAUAUUGCACAAUGGGGGCAAGCCUGAGGCAGCAAUGCCGCGUGUAUGAAGAAGGCCUUCGGGUUGUAAAGUACUUUCAGCGGGGAGGCGUUACCCGCAGAAGAAGCACCGGCUAACUCCGUGCCAGCAGCCGCGGUAAUUC